UGCCGAGUUUGAUCCUGGCUCAGGAUGAACGCUGGCGGUAUGCCUUACACAUGCAAGUCGUACGAGAGUUUUUAACUCUAGUGGCGGACGGGUGAGUAACACGUAAGAAUUUACCUUUAGGAGGGGGACAACAACUGGAAACGGUUGCUAAUACCCCAUAUGCUUUCGAGUGAAAUGGAUUUCCGCCUAAAGAGAAGCUUGCGGCUGAUUAGCUUGUUGGUGAGGUAAUGGCUCACCAAGGCGACGAUCCCUAGCUGUUCUGAGAGGAUGAUCAGCCACACUGGGACUGAAACACGGCCCAGACUCCUACGGGAGGCAGCAGUGGGGAAUAUUGCACAAUGGGGGAAACCCUGAUGCAGCCAUGCCGCGUGUGUGAAGAAGGCCUUCGGGUUGUAAAGCACUUUCAGUAAGGAGGAAAGGUUAGCAAUUAAUACUUGUUAGCUGUGACGUUACUUACAGAAGAAGGACCGGCUAACUCCGUGCCA
rnacentral:rRNA from 1 species